rnacentral:rRNA from 1 species
AUUGAACGCUGGCGGCAUGCCUAACACAUGCAAGUCGAACGGCAGCACAGUCUAGUUUACUAGAUGGGUGGCAAGUGGCGGACGGGUGAGUAAUGCGCAGGAAUAUGCCUUAAAGUGGGGGACAACUUGGGGAAGCUCAAGCUAAUACCGCAUAAUCUCUUCGGAGAAAAGCUGGGGACCUUCGGGCCUGGCGCUUUAAGAUUAGCCUGCGUCCGAUUAGCUAGUUGGUAGGGUAAAGGCCUACCAAGGCGACGAUCGGUAGCUGGUCUGAGAGGAUGACCAGCCACACUGGAACUGAGACACGGUCCAGACUCCUACGGGAGGCAGCAGUGGGAAUAUUGGACAAUGGGGGAAACCCUGAUCCAGCAAUGCCGCGUGUGUGAAGAAGGCCUUAGGGUUGUAAAGCACUUUCAGUGGGGAGGAGGGUUAUUAGGUUAAGAGCCAGAUAAUUGGACGUUACCCGCAGAAGAAGCACCGGCUAACUCCGUGCC